UACGUAGGUGGCAAGCGUUGUUCGGAAUUACUGGGCGUAAAGCGCGCGUAGGCGGCUCUUCAAGUCAGGCGUGAAAGCCCCGAGCUUAACUCGGGAACUGCGUUUGAUACUGUCGAGCUAGAGUGUGGAAGGGGCGAUUGGAAUUCCGUGUGUAGCGGUGAAAUGCGUAGAUAUACGGAGGAACACCAGAGGCGAAGGCGGAUCGCUGGGCCAACACUGACGCUGAUAUGCGAAAGCUAGGGGAGCAAACGGG
rnacentral:rRNA from 1 species